GGGCCCUUAGCUCAGUGGUGAGAGCGCUCGGCUCAUAACCGGGUGGUCAUGGGUUCGAAUCCCAUAGGGCCCA
rnacentral:tRNA from 1 species